AAGUUCUCUAUCGGAGCGUACCUCUACGACCAGCAUCUCGACCGAUGGACAAGUUUGGGUUUGCUGGAGUUGACGUCUUUGGGUGUUGCGCAACAACAGAGGUGGGCGGGUGUGAACAAGAACAACGCCGCCCCUUCAUCUGACGACGGAGCUGGAAAAAAAAAAAAAAACAAAGCCGAGCUUCGUGGACCCUUACAUAACGGUUACACUAAGAGCGCCUGGAGCAUACGAACCUCUCGAAGAGCAUCCUGACGGCGAACAUCCCCACGGCCAGCGGGAAGGCGGCCAACAAGUGCCCGGCUUGGGGAUACUCCACCCCGGCAGCCCGCUCGGCGAGGUCC